UACGUAGGGUGCAAGCGUUGUCCGGAAUUAUUGGGCGUAAAGAGCUCGUAGGCGGUUUGUCGCGUCUGCUGUGAAAACUCGGGGCUUAACUCCGGGCCUGCAGUGGGUACGGGCAGACUAGAGUGCGGUAGGGGAGACUGGAAUUCCUGGUGUAGCGGUGAAAUGCGCAGAUAGUCAGGAGGAACAGCCGGUGGCGAAGGCGGGUCUCUGGGCCGUAACUGACGCUGAGGAGCGAAAGCGUGGGGAGCGAACAGG
rnacentral:rRNA from 1 species